UACGUAGGGUCCGAGCGUUGUCCGGAAUUACUGGGCGUAAAGGGCGCGUAGGCGGCCUUCUAAGUCGAACGUGAAAUCCCUGGGCUCAACCCAGGAACUGCGUCCGAUACUGGGAGGCUUGAAUCCGGGAGAGGGAUGUGGAAUUCCAGGUGUAGCGGUGAAAUGCGUAGAUAUCUGGAGGAACACCGGUGGCGAAGGCGGCAUCCUGGACCGGUAUUGACGCUGAUGCGCGAAAGCCAGGGGAGCAAACGGG
rnacentral:rRNA from 1 species